rnacentral:rRNA from 1 species
CAAGUCGAGGGGCAGCAUUUCUAGCUUGCUAGAAGAUGGCGACCGGCGCACGGGUGAGUAACGCGUAUGCAACCUACCUUAUACUGGGGGAUAGCCCAGAGAAAUCUGGAUUAACACCGCAUAACAAUAUUUUGUCGCAUGGCAGAAUAUUUAAAACUCCGGUGGUAUAAGAUGGGCAUGCGUAGCAUUAGUUAGUUGGUGAGGUAACGGCUCACCAAGACGAUGAUGCUUAGGGGGUCUGAGAGGAUAGUCCCCCACACUGGUACUGAGACACGGACCAGACUCCUACGGGAGGCAGCAGUGAGGAAUAUUGGUCAAUGGACGCAAGUCUGAACCAGCCAUGUCGCGUGCAGGAUGACGGCCCUAUGGGUUGUAAACUGCUUUUUUACAGGAAUAAUUGUCGAUACGUGUAUCGAUUUGAAUGUACUGUAUGAAUAAGGAUCGGCUAACUCCGUGCCAGCAGCCCGCGGUAAUACGGAGGAUUCGAGCGUUAUCCGGAUUUAUUGGGUUUAAAGGGUCCGUAGGCGGUCUUUUAAGUCAGUGGUGAAAUCCCAGAGCUCAACUCUGGAACUGCCAUUGAAACUGAAAGACUUGAAUAUGGUUGAGGUAGGCGGAAUACGUUAUGUAGCGGUGAAAUGCAUAGAUAUAACGUAGAACACCAAUUGCGAAGGCAGCUUACUAAACCAUUAUUGACGCUGAUGGACGAAAGCGUGGGGAGCGAACAGGAUUAGAUACCCUUGGUAGUCCACGCCGUAAACGAUGAUUACUCGUUGUGCACAAUACAUCGUGCGUGACUUAGCGAAAGCAUUAAGUAAUCCACCUGGGGAGUACGUUCGCAAGAAUGAAACUCAAAGGAAUUGACGGGGGCCCGCACAAGCGGAGGAACAUGUGGUUUAAUUCGAUGAUACGCGAGGAACCUUACCUGGACUUAAAUGUAGAUUGACCGGCUUAGAAAUAGGUCUUCUCUUCGGAGCAAUUUACAAGGUGCUGCAUGGUUGUCGUCAGCUCGUGCCGUGAGGUGUCGGGUUAAGUCCCAUAACGAGCGCAACCCCUAUUGUUAGUUGCUAGCAGGUAAUGCUGAGGACUCUAGCGAGACUGCCACCGUAAGGUGAGAGGAAGGUGGGGAUGACGUCAAAUCAGCACGGCCCUUACGUCCAGGGCUACACACGUGUUACAAUGGCCAGUACAAAGGGCAGCUACCAGGUGACUGGAUGCUAAUCUCAAAAGCUGGUCUCAGUUCGGAUCGGAGUCUGCAACUCGACUCCGUGAAGUUGGAUUCGCUAGUAAUCGUAUAUCAGCAAUGAUACGGUGAAUACGUUCCCGGGCCUUGUACACACCGCCCGUCAAGCCAUGGAAGCCGAGGGUGCCUGAAGUACGUUACCGUAAGGAGCG